rnacentral:rRNA from 1 species
AUGGCGCAAAUCCUAGUUGUGCCGCCGGCUACCAUGGGUCAUGUCCAAUCAUCACCAGCAGCUGAGCUCGAUCUAUCGGUAGAAGGCAAUUUGUCAGUGCCAGUUGCAGCGGUCGGAGCUCGACCUGCCUCCUCCAACUGUGGUGAUAUGUGCAUUGGGGGUUAUCGCCCAACCAAUAGUUGUAAUACGGCGGCAGCCCGUUCAUCAGGAAGUGCAGCACAUAUGGGAGGAUCCGAGCUCUAUCUGGUUAGCUUAUCCUCUAAUCUUGUAGUGUUCAUGCAAAGAUCUAGUUUUCGGAAUAAGAUUGUUCUGUGA